UGCUUUAAAUACAAAAAAAGGUCGUGUGUGU
rnacentral:piRNA from 1 species